ACGGCCCCACCCCCAAGCAGCCCAAACCAAUCAGGCCCAUCAGCUGGCUGGGGAAGCCAAGGCCCUGGUGGGAGGAGCGGUGCUGGGCCAGGAUGGGGUGGGGGUUUGAGACCAGCUCUCCCCAUGCUGUCUCUCGAUGCCCCCAUCCCAGCGGGUCACCAGUGUUGAGGGGCAGGGACACAGCAAGGACCCCCAGCAGGGUGGGACCCCAGCCCCCAUUGCUUCUUGCAACAGCCUUGUGACCCCACCACCCCCUGACCUCUGCCCAUGUCGGGGCCUGGCCACCUCCUAGGGAGUGUAGGGGUGGGCUGGGGUCUGUGUCAACCUUCAGUGACUGCUCACCUUGAACCCUGCUUCCUGGGGGCCCUGGGGGGCCUGGCGGGCAGAUGGCCGGGCACUGUUGGGAAACAGAGCAGUCAGACCCCUCCCGGUCAAACAGAAUAGGAGCAGGAACUGAGGUCAGAGCAUGGAGGCCCUGGGGCGCCAUUUGGCAUGGGUGAAGGGGACCUCGGGCCACACGGGGGCCUCCUGGGGGCCGAGACAGAGCCUCAUUCAGGGCCGCCGCGGGGUGCAGCGAGGCACUGCAGAGCCAGGCUGCAGCCACCACCUCGAGGCUGCCUCCACACACCCAGCUCCUAUGUCUCGGCCCAGCACAGGGACCCUCCCUACCCUGACCCUGGCUGUGAGAGCCGCCAAAGUCCAGAGCCUCCCUCCUGGGGCAGCCUCACCACAGGGCUGGCUCCAGGACCCCUGCCCCCAGCAUCUCCACGGCCGCAAGUUCUGAGGGAAGUUUCGCCACAUUCCCACCUGAGCCACGCUUUGUUGCAGACAACAGCAAACACAUUCUCUGCAAUAGCUUCUCUGCUAAGAUGAGCCCAGCUUACCCAUCAGAGCCCCUGAGUCGUCGAUGCCCUUCUGCGGAAGAUGGUCAGCAUCACCGGUCACCAGAACAAUGACCGCAGCGGGACACUGCCUCACCCCACCAGCAUGACUGGAAACGACAGGAGCCCCAAACCGGAAAAUAACAAGUGUUGCUGUUGUCAGUGAGGAUAUGGCAAAAUUUGAACCUCCAGUGUUGCUGAUGAGAUGUAACACGGUGUGGCUGCUGUGGAGGAUGGUCAGGGAGCUCCUCAAAAAUCAAACCAUCACGCCAGCAACCCCCCCGCGUGGGGGGGUGCCCCCCCCCCAAAGCAGGACCUAAACCAGUCACUCGCUCUGGAGCACUCACAGCAGCCAAAGGGGACCCAGAACCAGCUGCCCAUGGAUGGACAAGCCCACAAGAGCCACGCCGCGCACACACCUGGGAGAUGCGGUGCUGACUGAACGACACGAGCCACCUGGGCAGGCGGGGCCACAGAGGUGGAGCAGACGGAGGCUGCCAGGGCCAGGGCACAGGAGAGCAACCGCCUGAUGGGAACCCAGCCCUCUUCCCAGGGAGCGGAACGUUCUGGAACCAGAGAGAGGUGGUGGUGACUGUGCUAACUGCCAGGGAAUUGUUCACUAUAAAAUAGCUCUUUUAUGUUAUGUGGAUUUCACCCCAAUUAAAAAACAACAAAAAGAUAAGUGGAGCUCAGGGUCCAGCCACACCUUCUCUCCCCACUGACCCCACCACUUGGACAUGGGCAAACCCCCAGGCUGUGACGACCACGUUCCUGCUCUCCUGGGGAUCUGAAUGAUGGAGAGGGUAUCCCCAGCUUCACCUCUCUCAACACCCCAGCACCUGCCUCCACCUGGGCAGGGGGCAGGAAUGGGGAGGGGAGGGGAGGAGGG
ensembl:lincRNA